GUGGUCAUAACUAAACACACAACACACAGCAUGGAGUUGAGACUGAGCUGGGUUUUCCUUGUUGCUCUUUUGAAAGGUGUCCAGUGUGAGGUGCAGCUGGUGGAGUCGGGGGGAGGCUUGGUGCAGCCUGGAAAGUCUCUGAAACUCUCCUGUGCAGCCUCUGGAUUCACCUUCAGUGACUACUGGAUGAACUGGGUCCGCCAGGCUCCAGGGAAGGGGUUGGAAUGGAUUGCAAGUAUUGAACAAAAAACAAACAAUUAUGCAACACACUAUGGGGAGUCUGUGAGUGGCAGAUUUACCAUCUCAAGAGACGACUCCAAAAGCAGUGUCUACCUGCAAAUGAACAGCUUAAGAGCUGAAGACUCUGCCACUUAUUACUGCACUAGACACAGUGAGAGGACUUCAGUGUGA